rnacentral:misc_RNA from 1 species
UGCACCCAACCUGUUCAAAGCAGAAUACUUAAAAACUAAUUGAUGUCUACAACAAAAUUAGUGCGAAAAUAAUUUGCAAAAACCAACAAGACACAUACAUAAACAAGUCCACUGCACAGAUAAAGCACACAGCUGAUUAAAAAAAAAACAAAAAAAUCAUGUUCAAGAUGAAGACGGUUCUGCUCCAUCAUGGAGAGCACAACAAACAGUUGCUUUAUGAUGACCUUGAUACACCCUAAUGUCUUCACCGGUAGACAUGGACCAAAGCCUUGCCGUUGUAUCAGACGAAGCUGUUAUUAGGUAAGCACCGUCUACUGAAAAAACACAGUCCCAUACCCACCGUUGAUGACCUAUUAAAGUUUUCUCCAAUGUAAACCCAUCAACAUUCCAUAUCUUGACAGUGUGAUCAGAAGAUGCAGUAGCCAGAUAUCUGUGAGGUUCACAAAACUCAGGUGAAAGGAGACAUUUGAGAAUGUAUCCAUCAUGUGCUUGUAACUUAUGAAGCGGCUCAAAGUUGGUCAUAGUCUGGGUCCCUCGCAAUAGGCGCCAAACAUAACAGGUUCCACGAUUAUUUGCAGCAACUACCAAGCUCCCAUCCCACAUAACCGUUAGAGACCUUACAGCUGUAUCCACCUCUGGUACCAAUUCACAGCUACAUGAAUUUGCUGUCAAAUCCCACACACGAAUGUUCCCAUUUUGGUCCCCAGAUAUCAGUUCAGUCUGAUUUGGGUGAAGCACAACAGUGUUAACAGCUGCCCGACUUUCGUACUCCCUUUGACAACCUGGUGCUCUCAAAUCCCAAAUCCUUACUGUGCCAUCCUCAGAUCCUGAAUACAUCCAAUUUCCAUCACAUUGAAACCCCACUGCCAUGACAUUAUUUGUAUGCGAAUCAUAACUCCUCACUGGUUGAGCGCUGUUGGAGUUGACAUCGAACAACCGAAUGUGAGGAUUACCAGCCGCAGCCAAGAAGCGUUUAUCUGGGUUUAUUUCAAGUCGAUUAACUUGUGAAUCAGGGUACUGGAUUGUACGGUAGCACCGGCCGCUUUUCGCCUCCCAAAACCUAAUGGUGUGAUCAUAGCUAGCUGUUGCAAGUAUCACUGAUGGUUGAGUCAUCUUAUGACUAACCCC